AUUGAACGCUGGCGGCAGGCCUAACACAUGCAAGUCGAACGAGGGGCGGACGGGUGAGUAAUGUCUGGGAAACUGCCAGAUGGAGGGGGAUAACUACUGGAAACGGUAGCUAAUACCGCAUACCAUCGGAUGUGCCCAGAUGGGAUUAGCUAGUGGGUGGGGUACAGGCUUACCUAGGAGACGAUCCCUAGCUGGUCUGCUAGGAUGACCAGCCACACUGGAACUGAGACACGGUCCAGACUCCUACGGGAGGCAGCAGUGGGGAAUAUUGCACAAUGGGCGCAAGCCUGAUGCAGCCAUGCCGCGUGUAUGAAGAAGGCCUUCGGGUUGUAAAGUACUUUCAGCUAGGAGGCGUUACUCGCAGAAGAAGCACCGGCUAACUCCGUGCCAGCAGCCGCGGUAAUUC
rnacentral:rRNA from 1 species